UAGGUCUCUGUAUUCAAUACUAGGCAGUGAACUAGGUCAGGUCGUGACUGAAGCAGCCUUAAGCUUUCCCUGGCAUGUGGAUAUGGAGACUUAAGC
rnacentral:SRP_RNA from 2 species